CCGAUGCCCUCCCUCAGGGGGCAGAAGUUUGUGCUCUCUCUGUCUCUCUCCCUCUCUCCUUUGCCACCCAGUGCCCACCCUCACUGCAGCCCUCUCCUAACCCCUCAAUCCCACACCCCACGCUGCCUCUAACCCACUCAGUGCCAUGGUGGGCAUCUAUCUGUAGGGAACUCCAGCUCCCUCCAGCCCCUAUGCCACCUGUCAUUUCCAAUCCUUUCUAGCAGCUCCCCUGAACCCUCUCUUUAAUAAGAUCUACCCUUUUUAAAAAUCAUAUUUUAAUUGUAAUUUUAAGUUUCAAAAUGUCCAUUCUCUUAACAAUCUUAACCAAUUCUCAUUGAAUGCCUUCUGCAUUGUGGUCACAAAAGGGGCUCUGGAACCAGACGUUGGGGUUAGAAUCCUGGAUUCGCCACUUACUGUGUGACUUUGGGCAAGUUAUUUAACCUCUCUGGGCCUCUAUUUUCUUGUCCACAAUAUAGGGAAGGUGAUAAUAGUAGCUGACUCUUAGGGUUGGUGUGAGAGAAUGAGUCACUGAAUUCGUGGCUGGAAGGCACGAACAGCGGUGCCCAGCAUGGAGCGAGUUCAGUAAUGUUAGAUGCCACCGUGUGGAGGCACCAGAGGGACCCAAUAAACACACACAGAGGGACAAGCAAACCCGCAGUACCGGGUCGCAAUGUCACGAUGGUGGAAAUGCAGGGUGAAGCUAUAAACACAGGGCAAAAUCCAUCAUAUCUGGUGAUUCAUACACAGAAGUACAGAGUGGAGCAACUUGAGACAUUACAGGCUGAAAAAUACACACUUGAAGUCCACAGCCCAUGACUGAAUCUGCUAGAUGAUGACUCGGUGGUUGCUGAGGAAUUUAAUCAUCUGGACCAUGUCCUUCCCUAGUUAAUUUUCAACCCAGAUGAUCAUAUCUCCUGUUCCGGGCAGACACAUUUCUGGCGCUAAGACCAGGGCCCCUAUUCAGCCUUAGUGGAUAAUUCAACCUCCUGAGAGGCACUGCAGAAGCACCUGGGCCAAGAUUGCUUUCCUCUUCUACGCCUAUCCCAGGAAUGUGGCCACUGCUCAAAAUGUGGGAAUUCCCUUCCAGAAUUCCCCUUGAAGCUGCUGCACGCUUCUUAGACCACGUCUGAGCAAUGCCUGCAUCACUAGAAUAUUUGGCCUCAGUUGGGUUUGUUUCUUUAAAAAAAAAAAAAAAAAAAAAAAAAAAAAAAAAAAGGUUUUUUCCUCAACUAAGACUUAAGACAAGGGGGUCUUAAUUUGAUUAUUUUUUUCUGUUUU
rnacentral:lncRNA from 1 species